CACAUCUGCGGGUGUUGUUUGUGUCUGGGCCUCUGCCUCACCGGGACCUGCGUUAGCUCUCUGGGUCUCUAUGAUUGUGGCUGUACCAGCACCUGACUCUGGUGAGAAUCAAAUCAGAUGAACUGUUAUGAUGCCUAAGGAUACCUAACAUUUGGACAAUGGCAACUUGCCCACAUCAUCUCACUUACUCCAGAAAUCCUAUGAGAAAACAAAUUGUUGCCAAUCCUAAUGGAGUAAGUUCUGCUUUCUGGGCUGAUGAAAAUAUUGUCAUUGGACUGCCAUCAAAUCGCAAAGUGAUGCAGACAACAUUUGAGGACGUGUGCUUUAAAGAACCUGACCACAUGUUAGCUCAUUUUAUAAUCAGCAUAAUAUUUUUAAUAAAUAUGUUUUUAUUGAUUUGAGAGAGAGAGAAAGGGAGAAGGAGAGAGACAGAAAGAAACAUCAAUGUGAGAGAGAAACAUCGAUCCAUGGUUCCCCGUACGCUCCUGACCAGGAAUCGAACAACUGGACAUCGCUGGUAUGUGCCCUUAUUGGGAAUCGAACCGGAGACCUUUCCGUGCACAGGACGACACUCAACCACCUGAGCCACACCAGCCAGGGCUAGUUACCAUAAUCUUAUGAAGAAGGUUUUUUGAUUAUCUUUAUAUGUAUAUGAGAAAAUUGACUCAAGGUCAUCCAUAUCAGUUUGAAGCCAAGGACGUUUCCAAGACCCCCUACUGCCCCCCUGUGGCAGCCUUAUGCCUUGCUCAGUAAAUAGCAGCUACUGAGAAAGACAGUGCCUCCGAUGUAUUUUGCCUCCAAAACCCAAAGAUGUGCUUCUUUCACUGUGAUCAGAGAUGCCAGAUGCAACAACUAUCUUUUACUUGGAGGGGAUGUGCCAAUGUGCACCUUAGAGGGGAUAUUUUAAUGUGUUAGAGACUAAUGGAAGGAAGAAAUUUUACUAAGGUGGUAGAUAUCUUAAUUUUUGAGGGGUUUAUUUCAUAAACCCACUUGUACAUGUUUACAAUUCUAAAUUUCUAUCACAAUUCUCAAAUUCCAAGUCUUUCUCUAUCAACUCUGUAACUUUAAUUAUAUGAUAAGCCAGGGUAUGAAUUCAAUUUGUAUGUAAUUUGGUUAACCACGGGAACAGGCUUCGAGUUUGGUUUUCAGAAAUCCAGACUUUGUGCUACACAAAAUAAGGGAUUUCCUCUGGGCAGUCGUGUUUUCUAACU